rnacentral:lncRNA from 1 species
UGUAAAGAAUUUACAUCUAUUGUUACGACCAAUCCACGGUAAGCGUGGGCGUGGUCAUCGACUGGGUAGGUUGAAAAAACUUGGCCAUAAUUAAAGCAAAGCUGGAGCCGUCACAGGCGUGAUUAGUAACUCUACAGGUCGCAUAGCUACAGUUAUUGGCUUUUCAAAUGUCACCUGUAAUUUAAAUUAUAUAAAAAUCUAUUUGGAAUAUAUAAAUACAAUCUCUUUCAUCGGCAGCGCGUUUUUAAUAACUAAGAUUAUUUGAUACGGCAUAGUUAAUUUAAUUAAAUACAGAGAAAAUAAGGAAAAUAUCCUUUAUUUUUAAUCAAGUAAUUUAGCAGCUAUUUUUUUGCAGCCAUGUAGAACUAAAGCCAAAACUACCUGAAAAGAAUGGGUCUGAGCUACUAAAAUUCUACUACUCUUUUUUUUCCAUUUUUACUAAUAUAUAUAUAAUCACAGAAGAAAGACCGGUCAUGGCUGCGGUGGUAAGUCUUUUUGACUUGGCCAACUUGGCCAUUGGUAGCCCAGAAGUUGGUGCCGUCAAUUUCAACGCCCUGCACGCCCUCCUGCAUGCAAUUCUGCGCCACCUGAAGAUUGAGGAUGUGACGGCGGAGUGGAGAGACGAGGAGCCCCAGGCACCGUCCCGGCAGCCGCCGCACGUCCGAGAGAAACCCAGCCCCUACCAUCACAUGGAGGACAAGCUGCGGGACAUCGAAAGGCAGAUGGCCGUCCUGAGCCAGCUGCCCACCGGCGCCGACCUCCUCACCCGCUCCGGCCCCGGCAGCACGCCCGUCAGCGACAUGUGGCAGAUGAUGCAGCUCGCCAAGAGGGUGGAAGCGAACUCGGACGGCACCUCCAAGGCGAUGACCCUCAUCCAGGACGUGCUGAAGGAGAUCAACGAGCUGAAGAGCUCUCGAGAUGGCCUGUGGGACGAGACCCGGAGGCUCCGGGUGCAGCUCUCUGAGCUCAAUAUGAAGGAGCUGCUGGACAAGACUGCAGCCCUGGAGAAAUGCUGCCAUCGAGUGGACAACCUGGAGAAAUUGCUACAUGACCUACAAGCCAGGAUGAGCCUGUACCCCGAGGACUUGGACAAGUUCAUCACCUGGGACAUCCUGCAGGCGACCCUGGUGGACGAGCGGGCCCAGCUGCAAGAGGUACCGCUUAGCUCGUCUGCCGGCGUCCACUGGAAAACGACAGCCCGCUGGCGCACUGUGGUCUGAAGUCAUUCGCAAGAAUGCAUAGCUGGCGAACGCCUCCUUAAGCAUUUUCCAUCUGUACGCUGCAGAGUCCUUCCGCGUUAAAACGAGCAUCCCCAUACGUAAGCCGACGUACAGUUUUGCCAUAACACAUAAUACCAAUCUGAAUGAGAACCAGUGGCAGACCCCACGUGGUGCAGACAGCCAGGUUGCGGUCUGUUUGUGCCUGCUCCUUGUUGUGCCACACCUCCACUCUACAGUUAUUUUCACACUCACGUUUGCAGUUAACUCUAUUUUUAAGUUUGCAAGUGAAACUCUAGCACUGCACUUCUGUAAAGAAUGUCAUUAGCAAUAUUAUUUCAUAUAUUAAUCAUUGAUAAUGUAUAUGCAUUGAUUUUUCUUUUUUCCUUUAUAUAUCCAGCAGCUCAAGGCCCCUCGUUCUAAAGCCCAGACUCCAGAUCAGGCUCCAGGCCAGUUUCAGGUCAUGCUAGGAGCUCCUUCUGCCACCCCUCCCUCUGCCCAAGAAAGCUCCGGCUCUCCAGCCCAGCCUCAGGCUCCGGAGUCCCAGCCAGAGGCGGAGACACCCUUGCCCUUCGCCAGCCC